GGAGCCAGGGACAUUGAGACAGUCACCUCUUGGGCUGCACCGGUGCUCCUGGGAGACGCAUUCAUCCAGGUACUCACCGUGACAUUCGAAGCCAUCCCCCACCCAGCCUGGCAGGCACCUACAGCUGAAACUCCCCGGGAUGUUGAGACAGGAGGCGUGACUGUCACAGUUGUGUCCUCCAACCUCGCAUUCAUCCACAUCUAAAGGGAGAGGAGGCACGACGCCAAGACCCAGUCACAGAAGGAAAGACUCGAUGCAAUAGCAGCGGAAAGGGCAGGGACUCUUCCUCUCUAGGGGAGAGCUGGCCCAGAAAGCCUCCUCCCAUUCACCUGGGGAGCUUCCAUCUUUACCCAGAGCCCAAGAGGAAAACCCCGAAACCCAACAGACAUGACUCUCAGCAGCCCUCAGAAAUGGCCUGAAAUAGCAGCAUGAAAGACUUGGGGUAGAUAUUAAGAGUGACUGUCCAGCCGGGUGCGGUGGCUCACGCCUGUAAUCCCAGCACUUUGGGAGGCCGAGGCGGGUGGAUCACGAGGUCAGGAGAUCGAGACCAUCCUGGCUAAUGCGGUGAAACCCUGUCUCUACUAAAAAUACAAAAAAAAAAUUAGCCAGGCGUGGUGGCAGGUGCCUGUAGUCCCAGCUACUCAGGACGCUGAGGCAGGAGAAUGGCGUGAACCCGAGAGGCGGAGCUUGCAGUGAGCAGAGGUUGUGCCACUGCACUCUAGCCUGGGCGACAGAGUGAGACUCCGUCUCAAAAAAAUAAAUAAAUAAAAAAAUAAAAAAGUGACUGUCCGUAUGAACACGCCCCUUUUCCAAGCCAGGAUUUCCCUGUCCACCAGCAUUUCCAAUCCAGAGUCAAUUAUGCCUCACCCUUAUGAUCUCUGCCAUGUUAAACCUUGGUGAGCUGCUGUUACUAAACAUUUCUUUCCCACACUUCUGUUUUCCCUGACAUAAAUUGUGUUUUAAAAGACAAUUUUGGAUCAACAUCAACAACCUCUAAGAAGUCAUAGGCUUGAUGCUCUGUUAUGUAACACUUGUUUCUAAU
rnacentral:lncRNA from 1 species